GAGCAAACAGGAUUAGAUACCUGGUAGUCCACGCGUAAACGAUGAGUGCUAAGUGUUAGGGGGUUCCGCCCUUUAGUGCUGCAGCUAACGCAUUAAGCACUCCGCCUGGGGAGUACGACCGCAAGGUUGAAACUCAAAGGAAUUGACGGGGGCCCGCACAAGCGGUGGAGCAUGUGGUUUAAUUCGAAGCAACGCGAAGAACCUUACCAGGUCUUGACAUCCUUUGACCACUUUAGAGAUAAAGCUUUCCCUUCGGGGACAAAGUGACAGGUGGUGCAUGGUUGUCGUCAGCUCGUGUCGUGAGAUGUUGGGUUAAGUCCCGCAACGAGCGCAACCCUUAUUGUUAGUUGCCAUCAUUCAGUUGGGCACUCUAGCGAAACUGCCGGUGACAAACCGGAGGAAGGUGGGGAUGACGUCAAAUCAUCAUGCCCCUUAUGACCUGGGCUACACACGUGCUACAAUGGACAGUACAAUGAGCAGCGACACGGCGACGUGAAGCGAAUCUCAUAAAGCUGUUCUCAGUUCGGAUUGUAGGCUGCAACUCGCCUACAUGAAGCCGGAAUCGCUAGUAAUCGCGGAUCAGCAUGCCAUGGUGAAUACGUUCCCGGGUCUUGUACACACCGCCCGUCACACCACGAAAGUUUGUAACACCCGAAGUCGGUGAGGUAACCCUUGGGAGCCAGCCGCCUAAGGUGGGAUAGAUGAUUGGGGUGAAGUCGUAACAAGGUAACCA
rnacentral:rRNA from 1 species